rnacentral:rRNA from 1 species
AUUGAACGCUGGCGGCAGGCCUAACACAUGCAAGUCGAGCGGAUGAAGGGAGCUUGCUCCUGGAUUCAGCGGCGGACGGGUGAGUAAUGCCUAGGAAUCUGCCUGGUAGUGGGGGAUAACGUCCGGAAACGGGCGCUAAUACCGCAUACGUCCUGAGGGAGAAAGUGGGGGAUCUUCGGACCUCACGCUAUCAGAUGAGCCUAGGUCGGAUUAGCUAGUUGGUGGGGUAAAGGCCUACCAAGGCGACGAUCCGUAACUGGUCUGAGAGGAUGAUCAGUCAAACGGGAAAGGAAAAACAGCCAAGCCUCCAAGGGGAGGCAGAGGGGGGAAAUAUUGGAAAAGGGGCAAAGGCGUUACCAACCCGGGAGGGGGGGGGAAGGAGGGUCUGUGGAUGUAAAAGAAUUUUAGGUGGGGAGGAGGGGAAGAAAGUAAAAACCUGGUUGUUUUGACUUAACAAACAAAAAAAACACGGGCAACCUUCGUG